rnacentral:rRNA from 1 species
GCCGCAAGGUUAAAACUCAAAUGAAUUGACGGGGGCCCGCACAAGCGGUGGAGCAUGUGGUUUAAUUCGAUGCAACGCGAAGAACUUUACUUGGUCUUGACAUCCAGGUGCUGCAUGGCUGUCGUCAGCUCGUGUUGUGAAAUGUUGGGUUAAGUCCCGCAACGAGCGCAACCCUUAUCCUUUGUUGCAACUCAAAGGAGACUGCCAGUGAUAAACUGGAGGAAGGUGGGGAUGACGUCAAGUCAUCAUGGCCCUUACGACCAGGGCUACACACGUGCUACAAUGGCGCAUACAAAGAGAAGCGACCUCGCGAGAGCAAGCGGACCUCAUAAAGUGCGUCGUAGUCCGGAUUGGAGUCUGCAACUCGACUCCAUGAAGUCGGAAUCGCUAGUAAUCGUGGAUCAGAUGCCACGGUGAAUACGUUCCCGGGCCUUGUACACACCGCCCGUCACACCAUGGGAGUGGGUUGCAAAAGAAGUAGGUUACCACUUUGUGAUUCAUGACUGGGGUGAAGUCGUAACAAGGUAACCGA